AUGUCGGGUUAAGUCCCGCAACGAGCGCAACCCUUAUCAUUAGUUGCUACGCAAGGGCACUCUAAUGAGACUGCCGGUGACAAACCGGAGAAGGUGGGGAUGACGUCAAGUCCUCAUGGCCCUUAUGGGUAGGGCUUCACACGUCAUACAAUGGUCGGUACAGAGGGUUGCCAAGCCGCGAGGUGGAGCCAAUCCCAGAAAGCCGAUCGUAGUCCGGAUUGUUCUCUGCAACUCGAGAGCAUGAAGUCGGAAUCGCUAGUAAUCGCGGAUCAGCAUGUCGCGGUGAAUACGUUCCCGGGUCUU
rnacentral:rRNA from 1 species